GGUCAAAGGCUCAAACACUACUUGGGUGGUGAGGUUGAACGCCUCGACACAAGUGUUGAGUUAGUUGACCCUUGAGCAUAGCGGUGUCAGGCUUGUGACGUUAAACAAGCGCUCACUGGGAGGCAACCCAACUUUCUAACCUUUUCUUGUGUGUGAUUUUUUUGUUUGAUUUUGUUUUGAUUGUGUGAACUUAGUUUGAUAUGUUUUUAGUAUAAUUUGAUGGUUGUGAAAAAGAUGUUUUUAGCUUGAAGUUUUGUGAUUUUCAUUUCUAGUUAGUAGGGUGUGAAUGGUUGCAUUGNUGCAAUGGUUGAGUGUUGUUAUGAAUUGGUUUGUUUUGAAGUGUGUGAAACUNUUUGGUGUGUUCUUGAUUGCUGGUUUUGAAACUGUUGCUUUGCAUGCUUCAUUUCACUUUUGAGUUGUUCAUUGCAAAGCCUAGGAAUUGUGCACUUAAUUUCCCAUUCUGGCACUCAAUUUCACUCCUUUUGGGGUUGAGCAAGUUUGAAUGACCAUAACAUAGCAAUCUGGAUUGAAUUGAGCUUCAAGAAUCAUCAAAUUCCAAAAAGAGCAUGUUGAGUUGCCAAAAAUUCUGCUGAACCAAGUUCUGGUAUGGCGCUCAAGCGCCCUUCUCCUAGGGGCGCCCGGGCGCGCGACUUUGCAAACAACACUUGUAGUUUUCCUUUUUCUUGGUCCUAGUUGCACAAUACGUGGCCCAACCCACUUCUUCAAACCCUAAUGAUUUUCAUUACACCUCAGAACGCCCUCAUUCACGCCUCUCUUUCAUUCACAAGCCGCUCCUACACCCCUCAAAUUUCUCCACCAAGCAUUCUCCACCUUCAAUCACCACUCGCGCCCAUUCUCACUUGCAAGCCAUCCACAACCCAAUUCAUCACUCUUCAACCUACACAUACUUCACCGGUCAUCAACUCUCCUAAAUUAAUCACCACUUUCACUCAACUCCAUUGCUUAUCUCGUCAAUCCCCACUCGAAGGAAUUGAUUUGCGGCUGCUGCAACACACCAAGGACCACCCCUUUUCGCCCUAACUUUCACACCCCAAGUGCUUCGCCUCUUCUUCCCACUCAAGUAGGUUUUCUUUUUCUUUUGAACAGCGAGGUUAUUCGACUGUGAUAGUUUUCAGAUUCGUGCCAUGUGUGUUGUUGUUCCCUGUCUUACUCAUUCAUUCAACU
rnacentral:lncRNA from 1 species